rnacentral:rRNA from 1 species
AGGUAGUAAUAUAUUAUAUUAAAACCUAUUUACAACGGCGGCACUUCAUCUUAUUAGAGGAAUCUGUUAAUUAAUAGAUAAUCCACAAUAAUUUUCACUUUAAAUUAAAAUUUAUAUAUCACCAUCUAAAGAGUUAGAUUUUUCAAUCUACUCUAAAUAAAACUUAAAAAGUUAGGUCAAGAUGUAGUUUACAUUAAAGUUCAAUAAUGGAUUACACUAAAUAAAUUUAUGGCUUAAUAUAGGUUACUUAAUUAUAAAAAAGGAUUUAAAAGUAGUAAAUUAACAAUAUUAAUUUACUAAUAAGAUAACAAGUGUGU